CACGAAACGACUCUCGGCAGGAUAUCUCGGCUCUCGCAUCGAUGAAGAACGUAGCGAAAUGCGAUACUUGGUGUGAAUUGCAGAAUCCCGUGAACCAUCGAGUCUUUGAACGCAAGUUGCGCCCGAAGCCAUUAGGCCGAGGGCACGUCUGCCUGGGUGUCACGCA
rnacentral:rRNA from 1 species